GACGAACGCUGGCGGCGUGCUUAACACAUGCAAGUCGAACGAAGAGCGAUGGAAGCUUGCUUCUAUCAAUCUUAGUGGCGAACGGGUGAGUAACGCGUAAUCAACCUGCCCUUCAGAGGGGGACAACAGUUGGAAACGACUGCUAAUACCGCAUACGAUCUAACCUCGGCAUCGAGGAUAGAUGAAAGGCGGCCUCUACAUGUAAGCUAUCACUGAAGGAGGGGAUUGCGUCUGAUUAGCUAGUUGGAGGGGUAACGGCCCACCAAGGCGAUGAUCAGUAGCCGGUCUGAGAGGAUGAACGGCCACAUUGGGACUGAGACACGGCCCAGACUCCUACGGGAGGCAGCAGUGGGGAAUCUUCCGCAAUGGACGAAAGUCUGACGGAGCAACGCCGCGUGAGUGAUGACGGCCUUCGGGUUGUAAAGCUCUGUUAAUCGGGACGAAAGGCCUUCUUGCGAAUAGUGAGAAGGAUUGACGGUACCGGAAUAGAAAGCCACGGCUAACUACGUG
rnacentral:rRNA from 1 species